CAACCCAUCAAGCUUCUGCUUGGUCUUGGGGCCUGCGGUUUCGCAGCCUCUAAACUCAGUGGCGGUGCUAUUGAGCUCUGAGCGUAGUAAUUCUUCUCGCUAUAGGGUCUUCGUAGUUACUUGCCACGUAACCCCCAUUUUUAUCAGG
rnacentral:misc_RNA from 1 species